AUGCUUCUUUCAACUUCCACUGCAGUGAAACCAGCACAGCUUCUUUUUGGGAAGCAGUUGCAAACAUUAUUUAAACAGGGUGCGGUGGUUUCAGCACGAAACGCGCAGACAGAGGCUGCUGCCUCUAGUUCAUCGAGUAAUGUUCCUGCCCAACAGUCAGCUGUUCAAGGUACAGCACCUCAAGAAAAAAUGCCAUACUCCCCUUUUACUCCUAACAAAGCCAGUACGUUUGAAUAUGUUCUUGCAAGGGCUGAUGAUGUCCUCAACUGGGGUCGCAAGGUAAGAUUCACCCUAUUUUACUAUGUAUUAUUUCCCUCCUGAAGAAAGUAUUUUCAGUGAAUAUUCUGUUUUAGGCUUGUGGAAUAUUUGAUAUGACAGAGACAGAAAUCAUAAAUUUUCUUUGAAUGAUACAAAACAAAAUAAAGCUGUAAGCUUACUGUCUGUCUGACCCCCCAGAAAAGAUGUAUAAAAAUUACGCACUCAACUUUCUUACCAGAGAGGAAAGUAAUGUGUUUUUUAGCCAGCCACUUUUGUAAGGCAGAAAUGAAAUUGAUUUCAUAAGUAUUGAAUAAGUUGUGCAUAUCCCAGAAUUGUGUUUUCACAAUUGCUGCUCACUGAAGAAUAAAUAUCAUGAGAUAAUUCUAACAUGAAGCUCUUAAUUUUAAUUUUUAAUAGAAUCAACACUAUCCUAAAGCAUGUCAUAUGGCAUCCUCUAUUGUAGCAGUGCAUUCCAUUUUUCCCUCUGCAUUGGUUUUGUUUGGUGACGGGUGCACAACAACCAUUGCUAGUGCGUCCAUCACUAAUUAGCGAAUCAAGGUAGAAAAAAACCAUAGGAUGCCUUACAGUGGUGCAUGCUGUCACCCCUCUUUAUCAGAGGACAUUAUUUUAUCAAUUUUGAUGGUGAAAACCUGGAAUUCGAACUGAUUUUAUUAUUCUUUUGUGCCAUGAUCUGCAGUAAUGAUCAAAACUCUAUUUUUCCAUUUAAGAACACUCUCAAAUUAAGAUUCUAUUUCGUUUUUUUCUAAAUCCUUUUCAGCAACAUCCUGUUAAUAGAUUUUAGGGUUGCGAAAAGUGCCUCAAAUCCCAGGACACGUUUAGUUUCUAGAAGUCAAUUUGCUCAGUUGGCACUUUUGAA
rnacentral:lncRNA from 1 species